rnacentral:rRNA from 1 species
AACGAACGCUGGCGGCAUGCCUAACACAUGCAAGUCGAACGAGACCUUCGGGUCUAGUGGCGCACGGGUGCGUAACGCGUGGGAACCUGCCCUUAGGUUCGGAAUAACUCCCCGAAAGGGGUGCUAAUACCGGAUAAUGUCUUCGGACCAAAGAUUUAUCGCCUUUGGAUGGGCCCGCGUUGGAUUAGCUAGUUGGUAGGGUAAAAGCCUACCAAGGCGACGAUCCAUAGCUGGUCUGAGAGGAUGAUCAGCCACACUGGGACUGAGACACGGCCCAGACUCCUACGGGAGGCAGCAGUGGGGAAUAUUGGACAAUGUGCGAAAACCUGAUCCAGCAAUGCCGCGUGAGUGAUGAAGGCCUUAGGGUUGUAAAGCUCUUUUACCCGGGAUGAUAAUGACAGUACCGGGAGAAUAAGCUCCGGCUAACUCCGUG